GCGGAUGUAGUAUAACCUGGCUAGUAUUUUGGCCUUCCAAGUCAAAGGUACGGGUUCAAAUCCCGGCAUCCGCAC
rnacentral:tRNA from 1 species